ensembl:lncRNA
CCUGUUUUGUUGUGUUUUGCCUGUCAUGUUCCUGUCCUCGUUUAGUAUAAUUAGUCAUUCAGUGCACCUGUGUUUGUAAUUAUCCUGUGUUUAUAAGUUCCUGUCUGUUCCUUAGUUCUUGGUCGGGUCUACUCGUUGUGUAUGUGUGUUUGUGCCAACACCCUUUGUGUGGAUUUAUCCUGUGUUCCUUGGAUUAAGGACUGUUUACAUUUCCACAUGCCUCCUACGUGCUCCUUCCUACAGCGUCAUGGCUGUGGUUGGCGAGGGUGAAUGUAAAGAUGCCUCCGUCUUCAUUUCCAUUUCCACAGUUGUCCUCUUUCAUCAUGGAGCCAGUGGCCAUUUACCUCCAAACAUCACUUCAGUUUUCCCAGAGGAGCUCCGUCACAGGACCACGGAGCCUCGCUUUGAUCAUCACAAAGACCCCAGAGUCUCUCAGGGGGACAGGUCUCUGUUUUUUUUCUCACUCUCUUUCUUCAAAUCUCUUAUUUUCCCCUGAGAAACUCUCAUCUCUCAAGACAAAAAGGGCCAUGGUGGUGAGCAGUGAGGCAGAACUGGUUUUUCCCAAGUAACAAACCAAACCAGUCCUACUUAGCUCUUCAUCACAGUUUAGGUGAGAAAAUCUCAAACAGUAAGCUUCUGUUCAACAUCAUACAUGUAUUUAUUUUUCCCCUUGAGAUCCAACUAGAGUGCUAGUCAAGACUUCAAAUCACAUAAUAAUUUCCCAUUCUCUUUCUGACUCUUUGAUGUCGUUGACAUGCAGAUGGAGACGUUGUGUUAAUGGAUUCAUCUGUUUCUCCAGCUUAGUUUUAAUAGAUGGUGUGUUUCACAAAAGAUCAUGUAAAAAUGUGACUUCAGUUUCUGUAAGAUAUUUAUUAAUGGUUCUGAAUAAAGGGUCUUAUUACUCACCAAGG